CUUUUUUUCUCUUUGGUCUCUUCAUUCUUCAUAUAUCCCACAAGUAGUCCUGUCAAAUCCCAUAAAGAAGUACUUUGGUUGUAAUUUUUCAACCUUGCUUUCCACACCAGAAUCACAAGCAACUAGCACACGUAAUUUCACAGCAGACAUAGAUAUUGUCGUCUUAUCAUGUCUGCACAAAAUAUAACUUCUGCUUCAUCACUUUUGCUUAUUUUUU
rnacentral:misc_RNA from 1 species